rnacentral:rRNA from 1 species
AGUGAACGCUGGCGGUAGGCCUAACACAUGCAAGUCGAACGGCAGCACAGUAAGAGCUUGCCCUUACGGGUGGCGAGUGGCGGGCGGGUGAGGAAUACAUCGGAAUCUACUUUUUCGUGGGGGAUAACGUAGGGAAACUUACGCUAAUACCGCAUACGACCUACGGGUGAAAGCAGGGGAUCUUCGGACCUUGCGCGAUUGAAUGAGCCGAUGUCGGAUUAGCUAGUUGGCGGGGUAAAGGCCCACCAAGGCGACGAUCCGUAGCUGGUCUGAGAGGAUGAUCAGCCACACUGGAACUGAGACACGGUCCAGACUCCUACGGGAGGCAGCAGUGGGGAAUAUUGGACAAUGGGCGCAAGCCUGAUCCAGCCAUACCGCGUGGGUGAAGAAGGCCUUCGGGUUGUAAAGCCCUUUUGUUGGGAAAGAAAAGCAGCAGGUUAAUACCCCGCUGUUCUGACGGUACCCAAAGAAUAAGCACCGGCUAACUUCGUG